CUACGGGCGGCUCCAGUGGGGAAUAUUGCACAAUGGAGGAAACUCUGAUGCAGCAACGCCGCGUGGAGGAUGACACUUUUCGGAGCGUAAACUCCUUUUAUAUAGGAAGAAGAUGACGGUACUAUAUGAAUAAGCGCCGGCUAACUCCGUGCCAGCAGCCGCGGUAAUACGGAGGGCGCAAGCGUUACUCGGAAUCACUGGGCGUAAAGAGCGUGUAGGCGGAUUAAAAAGUCAGAAGUGAAAUCCUAUAGCUUAACUAUAGAACUGCUUCUGAAACUCUUAAUCUAGAAUAUGGGAGAGGUAGAUGGAAUUUCUGGUGUAGGGGUAAAAUCCGUAGAGAUCAGAAGGAAUACCGAUUGCGAAGGCGAUCUACUAGAACAUUAUUGACGCUGAGACGCGAAAGCGUGGGGAGCAAACGGGAUUAUAUACCCGCGUAGUC
rnacentral:rRNA from 1 species